rnacentral:rRNA from 1 species
AGUGAACGCUGGCGGUAGGCCUAACACAUGCAAGUCGAACGGCAGCACAGUAAGAGCUUGCUCUUACGGGUGGCGAGUGGCGGACGAGUGAGGAAUACAUCGGAAUCUACUUUUUCGUGGGGGAUAACGUAGGGAAACUUACGCUAAUACCGCAUACGACCUACGGGUGAAAGCAGGGGAUCUUCGGACCUUGCGCGAUUGAAUGAGCCGAUGUCGGAUUAGCUAGUUGGCGGGGUAAAGGCCCACCAAGGCGACGAUCCGUAGCUGGUCUGAGAGGAUGGUCAGCCAGACUGGAACUGAGACACGGUCCAGACUCCUACGGGAGGCAGCAGUGGAGAAUAUUGGACAAUGGGCGCAAGCGUGAUCCAGCCAUACCGCGUGGGUGAAGAAGGCCUUCGGGUUGUAAAGCCCUUUUGUUGGGAAAGAAAAGCAGCAGGUUAAUACCCCGCUGUUCUGACGGUACCCAAAGAAUAAGCACCGGCUAACUUCGUG